CAUGCAGUCGGACGGUAAGGCCCUUCGGGGUACACGAGUGGCGAACGGGUGAKUAACACGUGGGUGAUCUGCCUCGUACUUCGGGAUAAGCUUGGGAAACUGGGUCUAAUACCGGAUAUGACCGCAUGCUGCAUGGUGUGUGGUGGAAAGAUUUAUCGGUGCGAGAUGGGCCCGCGGCCUAUCAGCUUGUUGGUGGGGUAAUGGCCUACCAAGGCGGUGACGGGUAGCCGGCCUGAGAGGGCGACCGGCCACACUGGGACUGAGACACGGCCCAGACUCCUACGGGAGGCAGCAGUGGGGAAUAUUGCACAAUGGGCGCAAGCCUGAUGCAGCGACGCCGCGUGCGGGAUGACGGCCUUCGGGUUGUAAACCGCUUUCGACUCCGACGAAGCGCAAGUGACGGUAGGAGUAGAAGAAGCACCGGCCAACUACGUGCCAGCAGCCGCGGUAAUACGUAGGGUGCGAGCGUUGUCCGGAAUUACUGGGCGUAAAGAGCUUGUAGGCGGUUUGUCGCGUCGCUCGUGAAAACCGGCAGCUCAACUGUCGGCUUGCGGGCGAUACGGGCAGACUUGAGUGCUGCAGGGGAGACUGGAAUUCCUGGUGUAGCGGUGAAAUGCGCAGAUAUCAGGAGGAACACCGGUGGCGAAGGCGGGUCUCUGGGCAGUAACUGACGCUGAGAGCGAAAGCGUGGGUAGCGAACAGGAUUAGAUACCUGGUAGUCCACGCCGUAAACGGUGGGGCGCUAGUG
rnacentral:rRNA from 1 species